AUGGCAGUGAACUUAUCGACCAUUACCCUCUGUCUUGCCAGCCCCAGCAGCCCUGUGGCAGCCUCAACGAUGGACCCGGACCCAGAGGGCCGUGUGGAGGGAGAAGAGUCAGCGUCGGGAGCUGCGGCCGCUGCGGCCGCCGCGGCAUUCGGGGACUUCGCGCGGCAGAUGAGUAAUGAGAGAGGCUUUGACAAUGUGGAACUGGGAGUCAUAGGAAAAAAGAAGAAAGUCCCGAGGAGGGUCAUCCACUUUGUCAGUGGUGAAACAAUGGAAGAAUACAGCACAGAUGAAGAUGAAGUCGAUGGCCUGGAGAAGAAAGAUGUUUUGCCAACUGUUGAUCCAUGUGUGACUUUCUUGGAGAGAAGAUUGCAUCUGUUUUGGGCAUCAGCACCCCAAAGUACCAGUAUGCCAUGGAUGAAUAUUACCGGAGGAAGAAGGAGGAGGAGGAGGAAGAAAACAGGAUGUCUAAAGAAGCAGAAAGACAGUAUCAGCAGAACAAAAUGCAGAGUGAUUCCACCAUUAAGACAGAUCAACCAGAAGCAGUGGUAUCCAGUUCAUUUGUGAAUCUCAAUUUUGAAAUGGAGGGAGACAGCGAAGUAAUUAUGGAAAGCAAACAAAAUCCAGUCUCUGUCCCACCAUAGAAGGAAAUGAUUAUCAAACUUCAAACCCUGUUUUUUUAUACCAUUAACUUUCAUAUUCUC